AGCGGCAKCUAUACAUGCAGUCGAGCGGACAGAAGGGAGCUUGCUCCCGGAUGUUAGCGGCGGACGGGUGAGUAACACGUGGGUAACCUGCCUGUAAGACUGGGAUAACUCCGGGAAACCGGAGCUAAUACCGGAUAGUUCCUUGAACCGCAUGGUUCAAGGAUGAAAGACGGUUUCGGCUGUCACUUACAGAUGGACCCGCGGCGCAUUAGCUAGUUGGUGGGGUAAUGGCUCACCAAGGCGACGAUGCGUAGCCGACCUGAGAGGGUGAUCGGCCACACUGGGACUGAGACACGGCCCAGACUCCUACGGGAGGCAGCAGUAGGGAAUCUUCCGCAAUGGACGAAAGUCUGACGGAGCAACGCCGCGUGAGUGAUGAAGGUUUUCGGAUCGUAAAGCUCUGUUGUUAGGGAAGAACAAGUGCGAGAGUAACUGCUCGCACCUUGACGGUACCUAACCAGAAAGCCACGGCUAACUACGUGCCAGCAGCCGCGGUAAUACGUAGGUGGCAAGCGUUGUCCGGAAUUAUUGGGCGUAAAGGGCUCGCAGGCGGUUUCUUAAGUCUGAUGUGAAAGCCCCCGGCUCAACCGGGGAGGGUCAUUGGAAACUGGGAAACUUGAGUGCAGAAGAGGAGAGUGGAAUUCCACGUGUAGCGGUGAAAUGCGUAGAGAUGUGGAGGAACACCAGUGGCGAAGGCGACUCUCUGGUCUGUAACUGACGCUGAGGAGCGAAAGCGUGGGGAGCGAACAGGAUUAGAUACCCUGGUAGUCCACGCCGUAAACGAUGAGUGCUAAGUGUUAGGGGUUCCGCCCCUUAGUGCUGCAGCUAACGCAUUAGCACUCGCUGGGGAGUACGUCGCAGACUGAACUCAAGAUGACGGGGCCGCACAGCGUGGAGCAKKGUUAUCGAGCACSGAGACCUACCAGGUCUUGACUCCUGAACCUUAGGAWGCAUCCUUCGGGUACAGAGKGAC
rnacentral:rRNA from 1 species